ACCCUACGGGAGGCAGCAGUGGGGGAUAUUGGACAACGGGGGGAACCCUGAUCCAGCGACGCCGCGUGAGUGAAGAAGUAUUACGGUAUGUAAACUUCUAUCAGCAGGGAAGAAAAUGACGGUACCUGACUAAGAAGCCCCGGCUAACUACGUGCCGGCAGCCGCGGUAAUACGUAGGGGGCAAGCGUUAUCCGGAUUUACUGGGUGUAAAGGGAGCGUAGGCGGUUCAGCAAGUCAGAAGUGAAAGCCCGGGGCUCAACUCCGGGACUGCUUUUGAAACUGUUGAACUAGAUUGCAGGAGAGGG
rnacentral:rRNA from 1 species